AUCUUGGACAAUGGGCGAAAGCCUGAUCCAGCCAUGCCGCGUGAGUGAUGAAGGCCUUAGGGUUGUAAAGCUCUUUCGCCAGGGAAGAUAAUGACGGUACCUGGAUAAGAAGCCCCGGCUAACUUCGUGCCAGCAGCCGCGGUAAUACGAAGGGGGCUAGCGUUGUUCGGAAUUACUGGGCGUAAAGCGCGCGCAGGCGGUCCUGCAAGUCUGAAGUGAAAUCUCGUCGCUCAACGACGGGGCUGCUUUGGAAACUGCGGGUCUGGAGAUCGGUAGAGGCUGGUAGAAUUGCAGGUGUAGCGGUGGAAUGCGUAGAGAUCUGCAAGAAUACCCGUGGCGAAGGCGGCCAGCUGGGCCGAAUCUGACGCUGAGGCGCGAAAGCGUGGGGAGCAAACGGG
rnacentral:rRNA from 1 species